UUGACCCUGCUGUAUUUGUGAUUUUUUAAUUUGAGAGGAACCUAUCAAAAUAACGGGAAUCGAGCCAUUGGCUGCGUAAAUGCCUGACACGAAUCAGGACUUACAAUGCUUAAAAGGUAGAUGCCCACCUUGUAACUUAGGUUUCGAGGUCACUUUAAAACACGGUACAUGCAGGGCAUA
rnacentral:other from 1 species